UCCGUUGUAGUCUAGUUGGUUAGGAUACUGGCUCUCACCGAGAGACCCGGGUUCAAUUCCCGGCAACGGAA
rnacentral:tRNA from 1 species